rnacentral:rRNA from 1 species
GAUCAUGGCUCAGGAUGAACGCUGGCGGCGUGCCCAACACAUGCAAGUCGAGCGGAGAUAUAUCGGAGAUUCUUCGGAUGAUCUUUAUAUCUUAGCGGCGGAUGGGUGAGUAACACGUGGGUAACCUGCCCUGCACUGGGGAAUAACAGUUGGAAACGACUGUUAAUACCGCAUAUGCGCACGGGGUCGCAUGACCCUGGGCGGAAAGAUUUAUCGGUGCAGGAUGGGCCCGCGUCGGAUUAACUGGUUGGUGAGGUAAUGGCCCACCAAGGUGAUGAUCCGUAGCCGACCUGAGAGGGUGACCGGCCACAUUGGGACUGAGACACGGCCCAAACUCCUACGGGAGGCAGCAGUGGGGGAUAUUGCACAAUGGGCGCAAGCCUGAUGCAGCGACGCCGCGUGAAGGAAGACGUAUUUCGGUAUGUAAACUUCUAUCAGCGGGGAAGAAGAUGACGGUACCCGACUAAGAAGCCCCGGCUAAUUACGUGCCAGCAGCAGC